AAUAUUGCGCAAUGGAGGGAACUCUGACGCAGCGACGCCGCGUGAGCGAUGAAGGUCUUCGGAUCGUAAAGCUCUGUCCUUGGGGAAGAAGGUCUUCGGACUUGACGGUACCUAAGGAGGAAGCCCCGGCUAACUACGUGCCAGCAGCCGCGGUAAUACGUAGGUGGCAAGCGUUGUCCGGAAUUAUUGGGCGUAAAGCGCGCGCAGGCGGCCUUUUAAGUCUGAUGUGAAAGCCCCCGGCUUAACCGGGGAGGGUCAUUGGAAACUGGGAGGCUUGAGUGCUGAAGAGGAAAGUGGAAUUCCAAGUGUAGCGGUGAAAUGCGUAGAGAUUUGGAGGAACACCAGUGGCGAAGGCGACUUUCUGGUCUGUUACUGACGCUGAGGCGCGAAAGCGUGGGGAGCAAAC
rnacentral:rRNA from 1 species